rnacentral:rRNA from 1 species
UGUAAGCGUAUACCAAAGUUGUUGCAGUUAAAACGCUCGUAGUCGGAAUUUGGCAGUUCCGGAUGUGUGCACGUCGUGUGCGCACUUCGCGGGGAUUGCUUUUGUGGUCUUGCGUAGGAUGAGGCACUUUUAUUAGUGAACGUCCUCACGCAACCACUUUUUACUGUGAGAAAAUCAGAGUGCUCAAAGCAGGCAUUUGCCGUGAAUGUAUUAGCAUGGAAUAAUAGAAUAGGACUUGGUUCUAUUUGUUGGUUUGUUGGGACUGAGUAAUGAUUAAGAGGGACAGUUGGGGGCAUUUGUAUUUCGGUGCUAGAGGUGAAAUUCUUAGAUUACCGAAAGACAAACUGCUGCGAAAGCGUCUGCCAAGGAUGUUUUCAUUGA